GCCUAGCUGGCUCAGUCACCAGAGCGUAGGACUCUUGAUCUCAGGGUUGUGAGUUCAAGCCCCAUGUUGGGUG
rnacentral:tRNA from 1 species